AACGUUGAUUCUUUGUCCAUCUAUCUUUUUUUUUAACUGAAAGCCUUGAAGAUAAACUACUGAACUGUUGACAAGAGGAGAAUCCUUUCUUCAGCUGCAAACAGUCAAAGAGAAUGUUGCUGUUUGAUCAGAUGGCAGAGAACAAGGAGGUGUCUUUGCGGUUUUCUGUAAGAGGCUGAGACUUUGCUUGCCUUGGAACAUCUUUCGUCUUUGUUUUGUUUCUCUUUUUCUUUUUUCUCCAGUUGAGCUAAGCUCACGACCCCGAACAAAAAGCCAACAACUGUACUCCAACCAUGCUGUGUGGUCUUAGGAGAGAUCCAAAGAGCAGCAUUGACAGAGCGGAAGAUGGCUGCAGAAUGCCCCGACGACGAUGGGCCCUACUCCAAGGGAGGCAAGGACUCUGGGAGCGGGGACCACCACAGCCAUGCCUCCCAGAGACGCAGCCUCACAG
ensembl:lncRNA